AACGAACGCUGGCGGCGUGCCUAACACAUGCAAGUCGAACGGGAAAACCCGCAAGGGUGAGUACAGUGGCGCACGGGUGCGUAACACGUGGGUAAUCUGCCCAGAAGCCCGGAAUAACUCCCCGAAAGGGGUGCUAUUGCCGGAUGAGACCACGGGGACUUCGGUUCCUGGGGGAAAAGGUGGCCUCUGUAUACAAGCUAUCACUUCUGGAUGAGCCCGCGGCCCAUCAGCUAGUUGGCGGGGUAAUGGCCCACCAAGGCUACGACGGGUAGCUGGUCCGAGAGGAAGAUCAGCCACACUGGAACUGAGACACGGUCCAGACUCCUACGGGAGGCAGCAGUGGGGAAUCUUGCGCAAUGGGCGAAAGCCUGACGCAGCAACGCCGCGUGUGUGAUGAAGGUCUUCGGAUCGUAAAGCACUGUCGGGAGGGACGAAUAAGGGCCGGGUGAACAAUCCGGUUCGACGACGGUACCUCCAGAGGAAGCACCGGCUAACUCUGUGCCAGCCGCCGCCGUAAUAC
rnacentral:rRNA from 1 species